rnacentral:rRNA from 1 species
GGUUAAGCGACUAAGCGUACACGGUGGAUGCCCUGGCAGUCAGAGGCGAUGAAGGACGUGCUAAUCUGCGAUAAGCGUCGGUAAGGUGAUAUGAACCGUUAUAACCGGCGAUUUCCGAAUGGGGAAACCCAGUGUGUUUCGACACACUAUCAUUAACUGAAUCCAUAGGUUAAUGAGGCGAACCGGGGGAACUGAAACAUCUAAGUACCCCGAGGAAAAGAAAUCAACCGAGAUUCCCCCAGUAGCGGCGAGCGAACGGGGAGCAGCCCAGAGCCUGAAUCAGUGUGUGUGUUAGUGGAAGCGUCUGGAAAGGCGCGCGAUACAGGGUGACAGCCCCGUACACAAAAAUGCACAUGCUGUGAGCUCGAUGAGUAGGGCGGGACACGUGGUAUCCUGUCUGAAUAUGGGGGGACCAUCCUCCAAGGCUAAAUACUCCUGACUGACCGAUAGUGAACCAGUACCGUGAGGGAAAGGCGAAAAGAACCCCGGCGAGGGGAGUGAAAAAGAACCUGAAACCGUGUACGUACAAGCAGUGGGAGCACGCUUAGGCGUGUGACUGCGUACCUUUUGUAUAAUGGGUCAGCGACUUAUAUUCUGUAGCAAGGUUAACCGAAUAGGGGAGCCGAAGGGAAACCGAGUCUUAACUGGGCGUUAAGUUGCAGGGUAUAGACCCGAAACCCGGUGAUCUAGCCAUGGGCAGGUUGAAGGUUGGGUAACACUAACUGGAGGACCGAACCGACUAAUGUUGAAAAAUUAGCGGAUGACUUGUGGCUGGGGGUGAAAGGCCAAUCAAACCGGGAGAUAGCUGGUUCUCCCCGAAAGCUAUUUAGGUAGCGCCUCGUGAAUUCAUCUCCGGGGGUAGAGCACUGUUUCGGCAAGGGGGUCAUCCCGACUUACCAACCCGAUGCAAACUGCGAAUACCGGAGAAUGUUAUCACGGGAGACACACGGCGGGUGCUAACGUCCGUCGUGAAGAGGGAAACAACCCAGACCGCCAGCUAAGGUCCCAAAGUCAUGGUUAAGUGGGAAACGAUGUGGGAAGGCCCAGACAGCCAGGAUGUUGGCUUAGAAGCAGCCAUCAUUUAAAGAAAGCGUAAUAGCUCACUGGUCGAGUCGGCCUGCGCGGAAGAUGUAACGGGGCUAAACCAUGCACCGAAGCUGCGGCAGCGACGCUUAUGCGUUGUUGGGUAGGGGAGCGUUCUGUAAGCCUGCGAAGGUGUGCUGUGAGGCAUGCUGGAGGUAUCAGAAGUGCGAAUGCUGACAUAAGUAACGAUAAAGCGGGUGAAAAGCCCGCUCGCCGGAAGACCAAGGGUUCCUGUCCAACGUUAAUCGGGGCAGGGUGAGUCGACCCCUAAGGCGAGGCCGAAAGGCGUAGUCGAUGGGAAACAGGUUAAUAUUCCUGUACUUGGUGUUACUGCGAAGGGGGGACGGAGAAGGCUAUGUUGGCCGGGCGACGGUUGUCCCGGUUUAAGCGUGUAGGCUGGUUUUCCAGGCAAAUCCGGAAAAUCAAGGCUGAGGCGUGAUGACGAGGCACUACGGUGCUGAAGCAACAAAUGCCCUGCUUCCAGGAAAAGCCUCUAAGCAUCAGGUAACAUCAAAUCGUACCCCAAACCGACACAGGUGGUCAGGUAGAGAAUACCAAGGCGCUUGAGAGAACUCGGGUGAAGGAACUAGGCAAAAUGGUGCCGUAACUUCGGGAGAAGGCACGCUGAUAUGUAGGUGAAGUCCCUCGCGGAUGGAGCUGAAAUCAGUCGAAGAUACCAGCUGGCUGCAACUGUUUAUUAAAAACACAGCACUGUGCAAACACGAAAGUGGACGUAUACGGUGUGACGCCUGCCCGGUGCCGGAAGGUUAAUUGAUGGGGUCAGCGCAAGCGAAGCUCUUGAUCGAAGCCCCGGUAAACGGCGGCCGUAACUAUAACGGUCCUAAGGUAGCGAAAUUCCUUGUCGGGUAAGUUCCGACCUGCACGAAUGGCGUAAUGAUGGCCAGGCUGUCUCCACCCGAGACUCAGUGAAAUUGAACUCGCUGUGAAGAUGCAGUGUACCCGCGGCAAGACGGAAAGACCCCGUGAACCUUUACUAUAGCUUGACACUGAACAUUGAGCCUUGAUGUGUAGGAUAGGUGGGAGGCUUUGAAGUGUGGACGCCAGUCUGCAUGGAGCCGACCUUGAAAUACCACCCUUUAAUGUUUGAUGUUCUAACGUUGACCCGUAAUCCGGGUUGCGGACAGUGUCUGGUGGGUAGUUUGACUGGGGCGGUCUCCUCCUAAAGAGUAACGGAGGAGCACGAAGGUUGGCUAAUCCUGGUCGGACAUCAGGAGGUUAGUGCAAUGGCAUAAGCCAGCUUGACUGCGAGCGUGACGGCGCGAGCAGGUGCGAAAGCAGGUCAUAGUGAUCCGGUGGUUCUGAAUGGAAGGGCCAUCGCUCAACGGAUAAAAGGUACUCCGGGGAUAACAGGCUGAUACCGCCCAAGAGUUCAUAUCGACGGCGGUGUUUGGCACCUCGAUGUCGGCUCAUCACAUCCUGGGGCUGAAGUAGGUCCCAAGGGUAUGGCUGUUCGCCAUUUAAAGUGGUACGCGAGCUGGGUUUAGAACGUCGUGAGACAGUUCGGUCCCUAUCUGCCGUGGGCGCUGGAGAACUGAGGGGGGCUGCUCCUAGUACGAGAGGACCGGAGUGGACGCAUCACUGGUGUUCGGGUUGUCAUGCCAAUGGCACUGCCCGGUAGCUAAAUGCGGAAGAGAUAAGUGCUGAAAGCAUCUAAGCACGAAACUUGCCCCGAGAUGAGUUCUCCCUGACUCCUUGAGAGUCCUGAAGGAACGUUGAAGACGACGACGUUGAUAGGCCGGAUGUGUAAGCGCAGCGAUGCGUUGAGCUAACCGGUACUAAUGAACCGUGAGGCUUAACCUU